AGACGUCUACAUUAGAUACCCGUGUAGUCCAGGGUGUAAACGCUGCAGACUUGGUGUUGGAAAUCCUUCGAGGGUAUUCAGUGCCGGAGAGAAGUUGUUAAGUCUGCUACUUGGGGAGUACGUCCGCAAGGAUGAAACUUAAAGGAAUUGGCGGGGGAGCACCGCAACGGGAGGAGCGUGCGGUUUAAUUGGAUUCAACACCGUAAACUCACCAGGGAAGACUGUUACAUGAAAGCCGAGAUGAAGACUCUGCUAGAUUUUCAG
rnacentral:rRNA from 1 species